rnacentral:rRNA from 1 species
UCAAGUUAUUAAGGGUGCAGGGCGGAUGCCUUGGCACUAGGAGCCGAUGAAGGACGUGAUAAGCUGCGAUAAGCUUCGGGGAGUUGCACGUAAACUUUGAUCCGAAGAUUUCCGAAUGAGGAAACUCACUUAGAGUAAUGUCUAAGUAUCGUUAAGUGAAUACAUAGCUUAGCGAGGGGAACCCGGGGAACUGAAACAUCUAAGUACCCGGAGGAAGAGAAAGAAAUUCGAUUCCGUAAGUAGCGGCGAGCGAACGCGGAACAGGCCAAACCAAUGAAGUUUACUUCGUUGGGGUUGCGGACAUACAACAUGGAUGCAAUAUCGUAAAUGAAGAGAGUUGGAAAGCUCCGCCAUAGAAGGUAAUAGCCCUGUAGUUGAAACGAGAAAGCUACUAGUAUGAUCCAGAGUACCACGGGACACGUGAAACCCUGUGGGAAGCAGGAGGGACCAUCCUCCAAGCCUAAAUACUACCUAGUGACCGAUAGCGCAUAGUACCGUGAGGGAAAGGUGAAAAGAACCCCGGGAGGGGAGUGAAAUAGAACCUGAAACCGCAUGCAUACAAACAGUAGGAGCCUCACCAGAGGUGACUGCGUACCUUUUGCAUAAUGGGUCAGCGACUUACAUUCUGUGGCGAGCUUAACCGAAUAGGGGAGGCGCAGCGAAAGCGAGUUCGAAAUGAGCGUCCAGUCGCAGGGUGUAGACCCGAAACCAGAUGAGCUAUCCAUGGCCAGGUUGAAGGUGUGGUAACACACACUGGAGGACCGAACCGACUAGUGUUGCAAAAUUAGCGGAUGAGCUGUGGAUAGGGGUGAAAGGCCAAACAAAUCUGGAGAUAGCUGGUUCUCCCCGAAAACUAUUGAGGUAGUGCCUCGUGUGUCGCUCCAGGGGGUAGAGCACUGUUUUGGCUAGGGGGACAUGGAGUCUUACCAAACCAAGGCAAACUCCGAAUACCUGGAAGCGUAAGCACGGGAGACAGAGCACCGGGUGCUAACGUCCGGACUCAAAAGGGAAACAACCCAGACCGCCGGCUAAGGUCCCCAAUAACAGCUAAGUGGAAAACGAAGUGGAAAGGCCGUGACAACCAGGAAGUUGGCUUAGAAGCAGCCAUCCUUCAAAGAAAGCGUAAUAGCUCACUGGUCGAGUCCUUCUGCGCGGAAGAUGUAACGGGGCUAAGCUGUUAACCGAAGCCGCGGAUGCACUGAUUAUUCAGUGCGUGGUAGGGGAGCGUUCUGUAAGUCUGCGAAGGCGGUUCGAGAGGACUGCUGGAGAUAUCAGAAGUGCGAAUGCUGACAUGAGUAACGUUAAAGCAGGUGAAAAGCCUGCUCGCCGUAAGCCCAAGGAUUCCUGCUCUACGUUCAUCGGAGCAGGGUGAGUCGGCUCCUAAGGUCAGGCCGAAAGGCGUAGCCGAUGGGAAUCAGGUUAAUAUUCCUGAACCUGCGUCAGAUGCGAUGGGGGGACGGAGCAUGAAAGAUCAUCCGGGUGUUGGAUGUCCCGGUUGUUGAGCGUAGGAGGUCUGCAGGCAAAUCCGCAGACGCAUCUCCAAGGCAAAGACACGUGCCGCCACGGCGGCGAAGUGAUCGGAAGUGCUUCCAAGAAAAGCCUCUAAGCCCCAGUCUGACGCGGACCGUACCGCAAACCGACACUGGUGGGCGAGCUGAAUAUGCUCAGGCGCUUGAGAGAACUCGGGAGAAGGAACUCGGCAAAUUGACACCGUAACUUCGGAAGAAGGUGUGCCGUAGUACCGUGAGAGGAGAGACACCUUGAGCGGGAAUCGGUCUCAGAGAAUAGGUGGCUGCGACUGUUUAUUAAAAACACAGCACUCUGCAAAGUCGAAAGACGACGUAUAGGGUGUGAUGCCUGCCCGGUGCUGGAAGAUUAAUUGAUGGGGUGAGAGCCCUUGAUCGAAGUCCCAGUAAACGGCGGCCGUAACUAUAACGGUCCUAAGGUAGCGAAAUUCCUUGUCGGGUAAGUUCCGACCUGCACGAAUGGCAUAACGAUGGCCACACUGUCUCCUCCCGAGACUCAGUGAAGUUGAAAUGUUUGUGAUGAUGCAAUCUACCCGCGGCUAGACGGAAAGACCCCAUGAACCUUUACUGCAGCUUUGCAUUGAACUGUGAACCGAUUUGUGUAGGAUAGGUGGGAGGCAGAGAAGAGGCCACGCCAGUGGUCUUGGAGCCGGCCUUGAAAUACCACCCUGAUUUGUUUGCGGUUCUAACCACGGACAGUGAUCCUGUCUUGGGACCGUGCAUGGUAGGCAGUUUGACUGGGGCGGUCUCCUCCUAAAGGGUAACGGAGGAGUACGAAGGUACGCUAGGUACGGUCGGAAAUCGUGCUGAUAGUGCAAUGGCAAAAGCGUGCUUGACUGCGAGAGCAACAACUCGAGCAGAUGCGAAAGCAGGUCAUAGUGAUCCGGUGGCUCUGAAUGGAAGGGCCAUCGCUCAACGGAUAAAAGGUACUCUGGGGAUAACAGGCUGAUACCGCCCAAGAGUUCAUAUCGACGGCGGUGUUUGGCACCUCGAUGUCGGCUCAUCUCAUCCUGGGGCUGUAGUCGGUCCCAAGGGUAUGGCUGUUCGCCAUUUAAAGAGGUACGUGAGCUGGGUUUAAAACGUCGUGAGACAGUUUGGUCCCUAUCUGCCGUGGGCGUUGGAAGAUUGACGGGGGCUGCUCCUAGUACGAGAGGACCGGAGUGGACGCACCUCUGGUGUACCGGUUGUCACGCCAGUGGCAUUGCCGGGUAGCUAAGUGCGGAAGAGAUAACCGCUGAAAGCAUCUAAGCGGGAAACUUGCCUGAAGAUGAGUCUUCCCGGAGGUAAAACCUCCCUCAAGAGUCGUCCGAGACCAGGACGUCGAUAGGUCAGGUGUGUAAGCGCUGUAAGGCGUUGAGCUAACUGAUACUAAUUGCUCGUGAGGCUUGAUCCU